rnacentral:sRNA from 1 species
GGGUCUGAGUUUUAGAUUGUGCCACUGG